UACGUAGGUGGCAAGCGUUGUCCGGAUUUACUGGGCGUAAAGGGCGUGCAGGCGGUCUGUUUAGUCUAGGGUGAAAGCUCCCGGCUCAACUGGGAGAGGUCCUUGGAUACUGGCAGACUUGAGGGAGGUAGAGGAGAGUGGAAUUCCGGGUGUAGCGGUGGAAUGCGUAGAGAUCCGGAAGAACACCGGAGGCGAAGGCGGCUUGCUGGGCGUAGUCUGACGCUGAGGCGCGAAAGCGUGGGGAGCGAACAGG
rnacentral:rRNA from 1 species